ensembl:lncRNA
AUGUUAGUUAGCAAUGAAUAUGUUACAACACCUGUUCAACACACCUGGUCCUUUUGUUCUGCAGACCACCAGGCUCAUCAUGUUCUAGUUGGCUUUCUUCAAAUAGUAGAGCUGUUGACUUCAUGUAACCUGAAGGUAUUCCUUAUGGUCACUGGUCUCUUGGACAAAAACAAGGUUAUCGCUUUAAUCUCUCUCACACACCAUUCCUCUCUAACUUUCCUACUCUCUCUGUCUCAUUACUGUUUCUCACUCUUCCUCACAGGGUGAUGAAUCUUGUCACAGUCCAUGUUUGCUGGGGACAAAAUGAAGAGAAAUAAGCACAACUGAGACUAAGAACACACUGUUCCUCCUCUCGUUUCUCUCCAAUGGAGAAUUUCAUUAUUCUAUGUCCAUUCUCCCAGUUCCAUCAGGAAUAUAGAUCUUUAUCAGGCAGGAAAUGGUUUUGGGUGGGUGGGGUGUAUUUAGUUUUCCUCUGAGGAAAUGCAGGACUCAGUGGAGCUGUGAUAUCACCUGAGCUGACACCUAUUCUUAUCGGAUCGUCUCUCAUUGGUUCUCUCUCUUGAUCUGGCUCUGAGGGGUAUCAAAAGAGUGGAUGGACAGUCUUUAGACUUCAGAUUUAAAUCCCUAUUAGUCCACAAUUCUGUCCAUGACUGAUUUCAGACUAUUGCCCUUUGGACAUGUGUCUUUUUAUGCACUUAAGUGCAUUAAAAUGUAUGCAUGUGAUAUCAAACAGCUUUACAAACGAGUCACAUAAACUGUCUUCUCUCUCGUAUUGUACAUAGCAUUGGAAAGUCUGUUUUAUUCUUUUGAUUACGUUAUGUGGACACUAAAUUCAAUUUCUGCAUAAAACAUUUCACCAGCUCAGUGCAGGCCAUCAGUAUUGUACUUUAUGCCCAGUAAUGUACUACAUUUUUUUUAAAUUCAAGUAUAAUAAAAAACACCAUUCACAAUUUCAGUUCAUUAGCAUUAUGCAUUAACUUUUUUUUUUUUAUCUAAAGGAAUAAAUACAACUACUAAACUGUCCACUCUUUCAUAUACAGCAUUAGAUUCAUUCUUAUUGACUUAUUUGUUUCAACAGUUAAUUUAAAUGUACAAAGAAUUUACUUUUAUUCUUCUGUUUUCUGAUGAUUAAAUAUUUGUCCAGGAUCAAAAAAUGACUUAGC